CCAGACACAGUGAGAUGACACCCAUCAACUCUGAUGGUCUUUACAGAACUGUGAUAAGGACAAGCUCCCGCAACGGCGGACUCUGGACCUGGCUCGGGACGGGCACCGCGAAGUGGAGCUACGGAUGGGACCUUUGGUCCCGAGGGUGGCACCACGGGAAAGGUCGUGGGCUCAGGUACGACCCAGGGAGCUCACCCUUGGGGGAGAUGUCCUGUCCGCCCCAUAGCUUCUAACCCGAGGUGCGGUACGAGUCCAAACCCGAUCACCUAAGACCAAGAGUUGGCCGCACAUCCUCGCAGACGAGGAGCGUCUGAGGCAUCUGCGCUUUAAAAACGGUUCCCGGAGGAAACUGCCGCUUGUUUUUUCCGACAGCUGACUAACCGGUGCGGCUCUGAGCUCCGCUGCCGCGGGGGACGGCAAGAGGGUCCCCCGGGACACCUGAAGCGACGACAUGCGGGACAGAGCUUCAACGAUUAGCGUUUUCAGCGCGUCAACAUUUGAGACGAGAGGCUCAGCGCGCUCGCCGCGGGGGUCGCGCUGACUUCCGGUACCUUCAGACACCAAGGACACCUGUCAGCUGCGAACUGCGCAGUCUGCAGCCUCGGGAACUUCACCGCGACUCGCCGGGUUUAGAGCCUGGCCUACGCGGCGGGUUUGGGUUUGCGUGGCCGGCUAAUGUGACAAAUCCGGCCUCCGUCGCCGCAGUGGGACUUUCGGCCCGAAGCUCGACCCGGGCCGGGUCGUCUUUCGGCGGGGGUACCUGCGGCGUUUGGCCGUGAGAGGAGCUAGCGUUAGCCGGCUAACCUCGGCCCCGGCGCAGUACCUGUUUGUGCGCGUGACAUCCGCCGUCCGCCCGGGGGACGUCUCACCGGAUGGUUCCUCCGGAGCAGAGACGCGAAACCGACCGGACAAAGGGCCGACAGGCGGCUUCUUAACACGCCGACACCAGCCGACAUCUUCCCCGCCCGUUAGCGUCAAGCUACGGCCACCGCAACGACGCCUCCGGAACCCGCUUUUCAGAGUAAAAGUCGGGAGGCCUGAAGUUGUGGUAAAUCCGUGUGACGAGUUAGCAUCACACUGAGGUCGCAGAGCUAAACAUCAGUUUUUCUGCAGGAAAAUCUCUCAUUUGUCAUUUAAAGCAUUUAAGAGGUCGAACAGAGCAGAACACCUAGACCAAAACUAUUCCUACUGCUGCACAGUGUAAAAGAUUUUCGGUCUGUUUCCACAGUUUUGCCUCCUUUUUAUAAUCAACAUGAAGAUCGGAGCUGGAAAUGGCAAAGACAGGAACUGGCCUCAAACAGUGUUGUGCUUCUUUUUAUUUCUCUUUCGAUGUUUCUGUCCAUUAUUUCAUACACAGUAACAUAAGUGUGUAAUGUCCUGCAGUUCACACCACGACACAAUAAAGCAGCGAUGUUUUUCAGUAAA